UACGAAGGGGGCUAGCGUUGCUCGGAAUCACUGGGCGUAAAGCGCGCGUAGGCGGCUUACCAAGUCAGGGGUGAAAUCCCGGGGCUCAACCCCGGAACUGCCUUUGAAACUGGUAAGCUUGAGUGUCGGAGGGGAUAGCGGAAUUCCUAAUGUAGAGGUGAAAUUCGUAGAUAUUAGGAGGAACACCGGUGGCGAAGGCGGCUAUCUGGACGACAACUGACGCUGAGGCGCGAAAGCGUGGGGAUCAAACAGG
rnacentral:rRNA from 1 species